rnacentral:rRNA from 1 species
GAAUUCGCCCUUAGAGUUUGAUCCUGGCUCAGGAUGAACGCUAGCGGCAGGCUUAACACAUGCAAGUCGAGGGGCAGCAUGUCCAGCAAUGGAUGAUGGCGACCGGCGGAAGGGUGCGUAACGCGUGAGCAACAUGCCCUAUACAGGGAGAUACACCAGGGAAACUUGGUCUAAUAUCCCAUAGCAUUCAUUGAAGGCAUCUUUAAUGAAUUAAAGCUUCGGUGGUAUAGGAUUGGCUCGCGUGACAUUAGCCAGAUGGUGAGGUAACGGCUCACCAUAGCAAUGAUGUCUAGGGGUUUUGAGAGGAAGGCCCCCCACACUGGGACUGAGAUACGGCCCAGACUCCUACGGGAGGCAGCAGUGGGGAAUAUUGGGCAAUGGAGGAAACUCUGACCCAGCAACGCCGCGUGAAGGAUGAAGGUCCUAGGAUUGUAAACUUCUGAUCUGUGGAAAGAAAACAAUGACGGUACCACAGGAGAAAGCUCCGGCUAACUACGUGCCAGCAGCCGCGGUAAUACGUAGGGAGCGAGCGUUGUCCGGAAUGACUGGGCGUAAAGGGAGCGUAGGUGGCGAUUUAAGUUAAAUGUGAAAGCCCGGGGCUUAACUCCGGAAGGUCAUUUAAUACUGGAUUGCUUGAGUGCAGGAGAGGUAAGCGGAAUUCCUAGUGUAGCGGUUAAAUGCGUAGAUAUUAGGAGGAAUACCAGUGGCGAAGGCGACUUUCUGGACUUAUACUGACGCUGAGGAACGAAAGCGUGGGGAGCAAACAGGAUUAGAUACCCUGGUAGUCCACGCCGUAAACGAUGAGUGCUAGGUGUCGGGUGUCAAAGCUCGGUGCCGGAGCUAACGCAUUAAGCACUCCGCCUGGGGAGUACGUGCGCAAGCAUGAAACUCAAAGGAAUUGACGGGGACCCGCACAAGCAGCGGAGCAUGUGGUUUAAUUCGAAGCAACGCGAAGAACCUUACCAGGGCUUGACAUGCCUCUGAUCUACUUAGAGAUAAGUAUUUUCCUUCGGGAACAGAGGACACAGGUGGUGCAUGGUUGUCGUCAGCUCGUGUCGUGAGAUGUUGGGUUAAGUCCCGCAACGAGCGCAACUCUUAUCGCUAAUUGCCAUCAUUAAGUUGGGGACUUUAGCGAGACUGCCAGUGACAAACUGGAGGAAGGUGAGAAUGACGUCAAAUCAUCAUGCCCCUUAUGGCCUGGGCUACAAACGUGAUACAAUGGUUGGUACAAAGGGAGGCAAAGCCGUGAGGCCAAGCGAACCCCACAAAACCAAUCUCAGUUCGGAUUGAAGUCUGCAACUCGACUUCAUGAAGUCGGAAUCGCUAGUAAUCGUAGAUCAGAACGCUACGGUGAAUACGUUCUCGAGGUUUGCACUCACCGCCCGUCA